AUUGGGACUUGUGCUGGGAC
rnacentral:miRNA from 2 species